AUUCAAAUUCUCUGUGAUCAAGAAUCGUGUUGUGAAAUUCACCACACCACGCAAAUGGAAAAAAUAAAUAAAAACAUUA
rnacentral:ribozyme from 1 species